GGCGCUUCAUUCCCACUGGAAUAUCCUGCUAUUCCCUUUCGCAGUCAGCCGACCGUUCAUUCAUUGAAAUAUCUGCACAUCUGCAACAAGAGAUACAUCCUCUAUAAGUGCAUGGGGAAAACAAAUGAAGAGAAAACUGUUUUUCCUCUAUAAGAAAGUCUAAAAAAGCCUGGAGGGUGAACAAAACUGUUAUCUAGCUUCCUCAUAAAACGGUUUGGUGGAGUAAGGAAAUCCCAUCAUCCUCUGGAUGUCCCAUUAUCUAAAGUCCAGGCUGGUGUAAAUUGGAUUGUGUGCUACAGUGGGGGCGGGGAGACUGGAUGAGGUCAUGGAGCUACAAUCCACCCCCCACCACAACCAUCAACAUUGUCCCAUCACAUCCUCCUCCUCCUCCUCCUUCUCCUCCUGCCUGCUCCAUGUGUUCACCAAGCAUCGGCUUCAGACCUAAAGGGGGGUCAUGGGGAUCAAAAACAAGUCCCAAUCUGUUUCUGAGGGGAAACCUGAGGGUGUGUGAUUGCAAACACCUUGGAGGUCCCUGCAGUCCAAUUUAAAUCAUUUAUAGCGGUGAAGCUGUAAACUUGAAGACAGGAUCGAUUUCAUGAGUCAGCCAACACAAAGGCCUUUCAAAUAUGUUUCUGUGGAAAAGAAGUUCUUCAGAGUAAAAAAAAAUACCCUGGACUCCUCUACCUGUUUAAUGUCUUCUUCUUACUGCAUUAAAC